UGUUGUGUUUUUAGUUUCUAGUAUUUCUAUUUCCCAUAGGGACGUCGAAAGAACGGAUACUUCGUUACCAAGUUGAUGCCAAAGUUCGGACAUGCGACAGUACAUCUGGCACCGGGGGUUCGAGACUAACCACUCUCUCUGCCUCUGGCUACUGUCGUCUGUCUGACCACAGCUGACCAGCUGGAGAAUAAAAGUGUUCUGCUGGAGGCAGGUUGGAUGAACAUCUGACCUCAAGCUAAAAAGACACUUGACGCUUGCAUUAUGCAGCUCCCCCACGGCCAUCUCCUCCGUCUUCAUCCACAGGAUCAUCCUCCAAAGGGACAGUGGAAGACCAGCUGCCCAGCCAACAGACACUUUUGCAGGAAAAUGAGACAGCUUGCCUGCUUUUUGCUCAACGGUGCUUCGGAGAGUGGAUGAUGGUGAAGAGGACGGGAGAGGGGGACUGUUGCGGUG